GAUGAACGCUGGCGGCGUGCCUCAAACAUGCAAGUCGAGCGGGGCUAUGUAAUAUCGUCAAGGUAGAACAUAGCCUAGCGGCGAACGGGUGAGUAACACGUGGGUAAACCUGCCUGGAAGACCAGGGAUAACGAUUCGAAAGGGUCGCUAAUACCUGAUAAUAUCCUUUCAUCGCAUGGUGAUAGGAAGAAAGGGGAAACCCGCUUUCAGAUGGGCCCGCGUCCCAUCAGCUAGUUGGUAAGGUAAAGGCUUACCAAGGCGACGACGGGUAGCCGGUCUGAGAGGAUGUACGGCCACACGUGGGACUGAGAUACGGCCCAGACUCCUACGGGAGGCAGCAGUUGGGAAUCUUAGGCAAUGGACGAAAGUCUGACCUAGCGACGCCGCGUGAGGGAAGAAGGCCUUCGGGUUGUAAACCUCUGUCAUGGGGGAAGAAGUAAGUGACGGUACCCCAAGAGGAAGCCCCUGCUAACUACGUG
rnacentral:rRNA from 1 species